rnacentral:lncRNA from 1 species
CCCUCUUAGAUAAUGGAUCUGCCUUCCAAGUGACCAGUCCCCUUAAGCUGGCAGGCCACUAGCCCAACCUCUGGUCUCAGAGUUUGGUUUCAGCUCUCAUUGGCACUAGAGAAUAACUGCAGUGUGGCGUGCCCAGGUUAUGAACCAGAUCUGAACAGGGAUGGUGAUGCCGGUGAUGGUGAUACUAACAAACAGACCAUACUGGGAUUGUUUCCUAUUUGGCUAGUGAGGAGAUCAUAGUAUCCCAGGGCAUGUGUCCUGGAAUGAGGCAGAUCAAUAUGAACUGAUGUGGAAGGAUCUGAGUCAUACUGUUAAACCGACAAAUCAAGAUGUAAAGGACAAUGUGUUAGGCCACGUGCAAUGAAUCUCAGGCACUGGGGUUUGAAUCAGGGUUGGUGUUCAUGGAAAUGGUGACUGGGAGGGGGACCUUGCUGGUGUCUGUUAUGCAGUGCUUAUGGUGCACUUCCAUUUCCAUCUUCACCAAGGAAUUGAUCUUUAUAUGGAUAUAGAGAAUAACUCUGAAGGGACAAAUAACAUUCUGGUGUUGCCUCUGGGGAGAAGAAGUAGAAUAUUUAGGGUCAAGAUGGU